rnacentral:lncRNA from 1 species
AAUACGAAAUUAGUCAAUAAUACCCACGUCAGAGUGCCGACAAUUACCGUAUACAAUACGACUGAGACCCGAUAAAGCCGUUUGCAAUACGAUAGAGCGGACUGUGAUAGGAUUAUGUUCAGACAGUACAUGAUCAUCCUGAGCAUUCCGACAGUUUUCGAACGGAUAACUUCCGUCAGCGUCAGUUCACCGUCUGGUCACUGUCUG